rnacentral:tRNA from 2 species
GCCCUCCUGGCGCAAUGGUUAGCGCAACGGACUUUUAAUCCGGCGGUUCUGGGUUCGAGUCCCAGGGGGGGCA